UACGAAUGGAGCGAGCGUUGUUCGGAAUUACUGGGCGUAAAGUGUGCGCAGGCGGCCGCGCAAGUCGAGUGUGAAAGCCCCGGGCUUAACUUGGGAAUUGCGCUCGAAACUACGUGGCUAGAGUGUGGCAGAGGGAGGUGGAAUUCCGCGUGUAGCAGUGAAAUGCGUAGAGAUGCGGAGGAACACCGAUGGCGAAGGCAGCCCCCUGGGCCAAUACUGACGCUCAGGCACGAAAGCGUGGGGAGCAAACAGG
rnacentral:rRNA from 1 species